rnacentral:rRNA from 1 species
GAUCAUGGCUCAGGAUGAACGCUGGCUACAGGCUUAACACAUGCAAGUCGAGGGGAAACGACGGGGAAGCUUGCUUCCCCCGGGGCGUCGACCGGCGCACGGGUGAGUAACGCGUAUCCAACCUGCCUCUGACUGAGGGAUAACCCGUCGAAAGUCGGCCUAAUACCUCAUGGCAUCGUCUGCGGGCAUCCAACGACGAUUAAAGAUUUCAUCGGUCAGGGAUGGGGAUGCGUCUGAUUAG